AUUUCGUCACACACCAGACCACAAGAGCUGAUGAGACUACCAAGAUAAGUGAAGCG
rfam:Schistosoma mattheei strain Denwood, Zambia genome assembly, scaffold: SMTD_scaffold0031252